UAGGGAAUUUUCGUCAAUGUGGGAACCCUGAACGAGCAAUGCCGCGUGUGUGAAGAAGGUCUUCGGAUCGUAAAGCACUGUUGUAAGUGAAGAAUGCCAUAUAGAGGAAAUGCUAUGUGGGUGACGGUAGCUUACCAGAAAGCCACGGCUAACUACGUGCCAGCAGCCGCGGUAAUACGUAGGUGGCAAGCGUUAUCCGGAAUCAUUGGGCGUAAAGGGUGCGUAGGUGGCACGAUAAGUCUGAAGUAAAAGGCAACAGCUCAACUGUUGUAUGCUUUGGAAACUGUCGAGCUAGAGUGCAGAAGAGGGCGAUGGAAUUCCAUGUGUAGCGGUAAAAUGCGUAGAUAUAUGGAGGAACACCAGUGGCGAAGGCGGUCGCCUGGUCUGUAACUGACACUGAUGCACGAAAGCGUGGGGAGCAAAUAGGAUUAGAUACC
rnacentral:rRNA from 1 species